AGAUUGAACGCUGGCGGCAGGCCUAACACAUGCAAGUCGAGCGGUAGAGAGGUGCUUGCAUCUCUUGAGAGCGGCGGACGGGUGAGUAAUGCCUAGGAAUCUGCCUAGUGGUGGGGGAUAACGUUCGGAAACGGACGCUAAUACCGCAUACGUCCUACGGGAGAAAGCGGGGGACCUUCGGGCCUCGCGCCAUUAGAUGAGCCUAGGUCGGAUUAGCUAGUUGGUGAGGUAAUGGCUCACCAAGGCGACGAUCCGUAACUGGUCUGAGAGGAUGAUCAGUCACACUGGAACUGAGACACGGUCCAGACUCCUACGGGAGGCAGCAGUGGGAAUAUUGGACAAUGGGCGAAAGCCUGAUCCAGCCAUGCCGCGUGUGUGAAGAAGUCUUCGGAUUGAAAGCAACUUUAAGUGGAGGAAGGUUGUAACCUAAGUACGUUGCUAACUUUGACGUUACGACAAGAAUAAGCAACCGGCUAACGUUCGUGACCAGCCAG
rnacentral:rRNA from 1 species